rnacentral:pre_miRNA from 1 species
ACCCAAACUCAGGUCAGCUGACUCCUAGUCCAGUGCUCGUGAUGGCCAUUGGGCCUGAACUAGGGGUCUGGAGGCUAGGUUUGAAUACCACCA